UUUUUUUUUUUUUUUUUUUUUUUUUUUUUAAGUUUCAUAAUCCGAC
rnacentral:ribozyme from 1 species